AUGCAGGGAGGUCCAGGCUACGGGUACGGCGGCUACGGCUACGGUGCCGGCUAUGACAUGACCGGGUACGGCAACGGCGGAGCGUACUACACCAACGACCGGUACCCCACGCCGGCACCGGCGCCGGCUGCCUAUGAGGACCCGCUCGCCGGUCGGAGGCAGCACGAUUUCCCGGCGCCGCUCACCGGGCUCGAGUUCCAGCCGUCGGAUGCCUGCCCCAAGAACUACGUGAUCUUUGAUCAGACCUACGACCGGAGCAGGGUCAUGUACAACCCGUCGCUGCCCAACAACUUCGGUUCCUCCGGGGGCUAUGACCAGCACGGCAACAACGGUGGCUACGAUCACGGCAAGGGCACCUACUACGGCGGCGGCGAAUGCUCGAUCCGGCAGAAGGAGGACAGCGGCGAGAUCGACGCGCUGAUGAGCUCCGAGGAGGAGGACGACGUGCUGAGCACGGGUCGCACUUCAGGGAGCCACGGCGAGGGCUCGCCGGACUCCACGUGCUCCCCCGGGUACGUGGUGAGCGUCAGCCCGAGUGGCGGCGGAGGUGGCGAGAGGAAGAAAAACCGGAUGAAGAAGAUGAUGAAGACGCUCAAGGGGAUCAUCCCCGGCGGCGACCGGAUGGACACGCCCGCCGCCCUCGACGAGGCCGUCAAGUACCUCAAGUCGCUCAAGGUAGAGGCCAAGAAGCACGGGGUGCGCGGAUCAAGAAGCUAG
rnacentral:rRNA from 1 species